AAUUUGGGACAAUGGGCGAAAGCCUAAUGGAGCACCGCCGCGAGAGUGAAGAAGGAUUUCGGAUCGUAAAACUCUGUUGUAAGGGAAGAACAAGUACAGUAGUAACUGGCUGUACCUUGACGGUAUCUUAUUAGAAAGCCACGGCUAACUACGUGCCAGCAGCCGCGGUAAUACGUAGGUGGCAAGCGUUGUCCGGAAUUAUUGGGCGUAAAGCGCGCGCAGGCGGUCCUUUAAGUCUGAUGUGAAAGCCCACGGCUCAACCGUGGAGGGUCAUUGGAAACUGGGGGACUUGAGUGCAGAAGAGGAAAGUGGAAUUCCAAGUGUAGCGGUGAAAUGCGUAGAGAUUUGGAGGAACACCAGUGACGAAGGCGACUUUCUGGUCUGUAACUGACGCUGAGGCGCGAAAGCGUGGGGAGCAAACAGG
rnacentral:rRNA from 1 species